rnacentral:rRNA from 1 species
GAUGAACGCUGGCGGCGUGCCUAAUACAUGCAAGUCGAGCGAACGGACGAGAAGCUUGCUUCUCUGAUGUUAGCGGCGGACGGGUGAGUAACACGUGGAUAACCUACCUAUAAGACUGGGAUAACUUCGGGAAACCGGAGCUAAUACCGGAUAAUAUUUCGAACCGCAUGGUUCAAAAGUGAAAGACGGUCUUGCUGUCACUUAUAGAUGGAUCCGCGCUGCAUUAGCUAGUUGGUAAGGUAACGGCUUACCAAGGCAACGAUGCAUAGCCGACCUGAGAGGGUGAUCGGCCACACUGGAACUGAGACACGGUCCAGACUCCUACGGGAGGCAGCAGUAGGGAAUCUUCCGCAAUGGGCGAAAGCCUGACGGAGCAACGCCGCGUGAGUGAUGAAGGUCUUCGGAUCGUAAAACUCUGUUAUUAGGGAAGAACAUAUGUGUAAGUAACUGUGCACAUCUUGACGGUACCUAAUCAGAAAGCCACGGCUAACUACGUGCCAGCAGCCGCGGUAAUACGUAGGUGGCAAGCGUUAUCCGGAAUUAUUGGGCGUAAAGCGCGCGUAGGCGGUUUUUUAAGUCUGAUGUGAAAGCCCACGGCUCAACCGUGGAGGGUCAUUGGAAACUGGAAAACUUGAGUGCAGAAGAGGAAAGUGGAAUUCCAUGUGUAGCGGUGAAAUGCGCAGAGAUAUGGAGGAACACCGGUGGCGAAGGCGACUUUCUGGUCUGUAACUGACGCUGAUGUGCGAAAGCGUGGGGAUCAAACAGGAUUAGAUACCCUGGUAGUCCACGCCGUAAACGAUGAGUGCUAAGUGUUAGGGGGUUUCCGCCCCUUAGUGCUGCAGCUAACGCAUUAAGCACUCCGCCUGGGGAGUACGACCGCAAGGUUGAAACUCAAAGGAAUUGACGGGGACCCGCGCAAGCGGUGGAGCAUGUGGUUUAAUUCGAAGCAACGCGAAGAACCUUACCAAAUCUUGACAUCCUUUGACAACUCUAGAGAUAGAGCCUUCCCCUUCGGGGGACAAGGUGACAGGUGGUGCAUGGUUGUCGUCAGCUCGUGUCGUGAGAUGUUGGGUUAAGUCCCGCAACGAGCGCAACCCUUAAGCUUAGUUGCCAUCAUUAAGUUGGGCACUCUAAGUUGACUGCCGGUGACAAACCGGGGGAAGGUGGGGAUGACGUCAAAUCAUCAUGCCCCUUAUGAUUUGGGCUACACACGUGCUACAAUGGACAAUACAAAGGGCAGCGAAACCGCGAGGUCAAGCAAAUCCCAUAAAGUUGUUCUCAGUUCGGAUUGUAGUCUGCAACUCGACUACAUGAAGCUGGAAUCGCUAGUAAUCGUAGAUCAGCAUGCUACGGUGAAUACGUUCCCGGGUUC